rnacentral:rRNA from 1 species
UUAAGUGAAUAAGGGCGCACGGUGGAUGCCUUGGUACUAGGAGCCGAAGAAGGACGGAACUAACACCGAUAUGCUUUGGGGAGCUGUAAGUAAGCUAAGAUCCAAAGAUUUCCGAAUGGGGGAACCCAACACCUUUCAUAGGGUGUUACCAAUGAGUGAAUACAUAGCUCAUUAGGAGGUACACGCAGGGAACUGAAACAUCUCAUUACCUGCAGGAAGAGAAAGAAAAAUCGAUUCCCUGAGUAGCGGCGAGCGAAACGGGAGGAGCCCAAACCAACGAGCUUGCUUGUUGGGGUUGUAGGACUAGAACGUGAGAAGAAAUCAAGAUAGCAGAAGUGGUCUGGAAAGGCCCAUCAAAGAAGGUGACAAUCCUGUACGCGACAUCUUGAUGAACUCUACUAGCAUCCUGAGUACGGCGGGACACGAGGAAUCCCGUCGGAAUCCGCCAGGACCAUCUGGCAAGGCUAAAUACUACCUAGUGACCGAUAGUGAACCAGUACCGUGAGGGAAAGGUGAAAAGAACCCCGGGAGGGGAGUGAAAGAGUACCUGAAACCGUGUGCUUACAAGUAGUCAGAGCCCGUUAAUGGGUGAUGGCGUGCCUUUUGUAGAAUGAACCGGCGAGUUACGUUUACAUGCGAGGUUAAGAUGAAGAGUCGGAGCCGUAGCGAAAGCGAGUCUGAAUAGGGCGCAUGUAGUAUGUGGACGUAGACCCGAAACCAAGUGAUCUACCCAUGUCCAGGUUGAAGGUGCGGUAAAACGCACUGGAGGACCGAACCAGGGCACGUUGAAAAGUGCUUGGAUGACUUGUGGGUAGCGGAGAAAUUCCAAACGAACUUGGAGAUAGCUGGUUCUCUCCGAAAUAGCUUUAGGGCUAGCGUCGACAUUAGAGAUUCUUGGAGGUAGAGCACUGUUUGGGUGAGGGGUCCAUCCCGGAUUACCAAUCUCAGAUAAACUCCGAAUGCCAAUGAAUUAUGGUCGGCAGUCAGACUGCGAGUGCUAAGAUCCGUAGUCGAAAGGGAAACAGCCCAGACCACCAGCUAAGGUCCCAAAAUAAUUGUUAAGUGGAAAAGGAUGUGGGGUUGCACAGACAACUAGGAUGUUAGCUUAGAAGCAGCUAUUCAUUCAAAGAGUGCGUAAUAGCUCACUAGUCGAGUGACCCUGCGCCGAAAAUGUACCGGGGCUAAAACAAUUUACCGAAGCUGUGGAUACCUUUAUAGGUAUGGUAGGAGAGCGUUCUAUGUGUGAAGAAGGUAUACCGUGAGGAGUGCUGGAACGCAUAGAAGUGAGAAUGCCGGUAUGAGUAGCGAAAGACAGGUGAGAAUCCUGUCCACCGUAAGACUAAGGUUUCCAGGGGAAGGCUCGUCCGCCCUGGGUUAGUCGGGACCUAAGGAGAGACCGAAAGGUGUAUCCGAUGGACAACAGGUUGAUAUUCCUGUACUAGAGUAUGUAGUGAUGGAGGGACGCAGUAGGCUAACUAAAGCAGACGAUUGGAAGUGUCUGUCUAAGCAGUGAGGUGUGAUAUGAGUCAAAUGCUUAUAUCUAUAACAUUGAGCUGUGAUGGGGAGCGAAGUUUAGUAGCGAAGUUAGUGACGUCACACUGCCAAGAAAAGCUUCUAGCGUUAAUCAUACUCUACCCGUACCGCAAACCGACACAGGUAGUCGAGGCGAGUAGCCUCAGGUGAGCGAGAGAACUCUCGUUAAGGAACUCGGCAAAAUGACCCCGUAACUUCGGGAGAAGGGGUGCUGGUAGCAAUACCAGCCGCAGUGAAUAGGCCCAGGCGACUGUUUAUCAAAAACACAGGUCUCUGCAAAAUCGAAAGAUGACGUAUAGGGGCUGACGCCUGCCCGGUGCUGGAAGGUUAAGAGGAGAGGUUAGCGCAAGCGAAGCUUUGAAUUGAAGCCCCAGUAAACGGCGGCCGUAACUAUAACGGUCCUAAGGUAGCGAAAUUCCUUGUCGGGUAAGUUCCGACCCGCACGAAAGGCGUAAUGAUUUGGGCACUGUCUCAACGAGAGACUCGGUGAAAUUUUAGUACCUGUGAAGAUGCAGGUUACCCGCGACAGGACGGAAAGACCCCAUGGAGCUUUACUGUAGUUUGAUAUUGAGUGUUUGUGUCACAUGUACAGGAUAGGUAGGAGCUGAAGAAUCCGGGACGCCAGUUUCGGAGGAGGCAACGGUGGGAUACUACCCUUGUGACAUGACCACUCUAACCCGCACCCCUAACCGGGGUGGGAGACAGUGUCAGACGGGCAGUUUGACUGGGGCGGUCGCCUCCUAAAGUGUAACGGAGGCGCCCAAAGGUUCCCUCAGAAUGGUUGGAAAUCAUUCGUAGAGUGUAAAGGCAGAAGGGAGCUUGACUGCGAGACCUACAAGUCGAGCAGGGACGAAAGUCGGGCUUAGUGAUCCGGUGGUUCCGUAUGGAAGGGCC